GUGAUUAUUUUCAAAAUAAUAAUAUUCAACCUCAAGAAUGCAAUUAUUGUUCGCUGAUGGACAAAAUCAAGUUAUCAAGGUAGUUAAUUGUCUGCAAGUAGGUCACAGGCCUGAUCAACCUGUGUUAGUUCUUAUCAGCUGGAUUAGUAAACAUUGCUGCAGCCCCAGUUGGCCAAACUACAAUUCAACUACUCUUGCCUUGAUUAUUCCUGCUCUUGGAUGACUCUGCAUCACUGCCGUCUACAGUAGUAGUUUCAGAAGAUUGGAACAGAAAGCUUCUCGUGCCUGUGCUCCCUCCUUGCUCUUAUAGGAUUUUAUUAAGCUAAGGGAUAUUUUGGGAGCUGAUUCCGGCUUGUGAGACCCACUACCCACUGGCCUUUAGCGCAGCUGCCUGGUUGCCUGCCUUUACCCACUAUCUACCUAGGCCUACUCAUAGACUAUUGGCGGGGCUCAUCGUACCGAUAAGUGGAAAUACUUUUAUUCUGAAGGACUAUUCAUUAUUUUCACUUUGCCGGCCAAUGCCAAAUAAUCUGAAAUAGUAUGGGGAACUUAUGAUUGUUAGUCUCAGUUUACACCUUGAAGGGACAAUGGUGGGGCUUUCAAAUCUUACCUCCCACCUGUGGAUGUAAAUUAAUAAUAUUUUUGGGACUUUUUGUGAGCCUGACCCCUUACAACUGUGAGAACCUGUGGGCCUAUUGUAGCAGUGAAUGGACUUCAAUAUUGGAACUGUCUACAAUUGUUACUGGGAUAUCACUUAUACUACAUAUUAUUAACUGUUUAUUGUGUAUUUAUUUAUGUGUGUAGUGUGUAAGAUUUGUAUAUUGUGUUAGUUAUAAUAAUCUAUAUAGUUAACUUGUUUAUUUCAGUAUGUGGUGGCCACCCAAGGUAUUUGUACAAAUAUUAAGCUAUUGUAUUUAGUAUUGAGUUUUAUCUCAGAUUAUAACUUGA